AGUGCCCUUUCUCAUCCCAUAUCACUUAUCAUGAUGAAUUAUACAGGGAGGAGCUACUCAUGUAGCUAUAACUUGUAACCGAUAACUAGUGAAGCUUCCGUUGUGGAGAUAAUGGUCGGAUCGGAGGAUGGAAGUGGAAGGAAUGUUUAGAAGGGAAAGACUUAUGCUAUUAUUUCAAAGGCAGUGAGCUCAGCAAAUCAGGUUUAUUUAUACUAGUUGUAUUCAAUAGUAUCAAUAUAUUUCAUCUAGUUUUAAUUAGACAGUUGGAUUUUUGCAAACAUCUUUUCAUUAUUGGCUAGAAAGGUGUAGCUCGAGAAUUGCUGAACGCCACCGAAAUAGACUUUGAAAACAACCCUUAUGCUUGGACUAAAGAAAUUUGAGCAGAAAAUGGUAUGUUUCAAAUACUCGAAAACUAUAAAAAGAAAAUGAAUGAAGAAGAACGAAGAAGUAAAAAUAAUUCUCUGUUCAGUUUUGAGUGACAGCUCCUUUAGGUAAGUUUUUGUUCUUACAUAUUUAUGUUAUUAUGAUUUGUUUGCAUAUUAUGAAUAUAUUUGUUUGUGAUUUUGUAGGUAUCUAUGAAGACGCUCAAAUUGUUAAUGUGAUUUUGUAGAUUUUGGUGAUGUAUUACAUCU